CAGCCGCCGCGGUAAUACCGGCGGCCCGAGUGGCGGUCACUAUUAUUGGGCUUAAAGCGUCCGUAGCCGGGUUGGGAAGUCCUCCGGGGAAUCUGGCCGCUUAACGGUCAGAAUGCCGGAGGAUACUCCCAGCCUAGGGAGCGGGAGAGGCCGAGGGGAUUCCCGGGGUAGGGGGGAAAUCCUAUAAUCCCGGGAGGACCACCUGUGGCGAAGGCGCUCGGCUGGAACGCGUCCGACGGUGAGGGACGAAGGCCAGGGGAGCAAACCGGAUUAGAUACCCGGGUAGUCCUGGCUGUAAACGAUGCGGACUUUGUGUCGGACAAGCUAUGAGCUUGUCCGGUGCCGGAGGGAAACCGUUAAGUCCGCCGCCUGGGGAGUACGGCCGCAAGGCUGAAACUUAAAGGAAUUGGCGGG
rnacentral:rRNA from 1 species